UCCCUUCUCUCAGUAAUGUGAAUUGCAGAAUUCCGUGACUCAUCGAAUCUUUGAACGCACCUUGCGCUCCUUGGUAUUCCUUGGAGCAUGCCUGUUUGAGUAUCAUGAAAUCUUCAAAGUAAAUCUUUUGUUAACUCAAUUGGUUUCUACUUUGGUAUUGGAGGUCUUUGCAGCUUCACACCUGCUCCUCUUUGUUCAUUAGCUGGAUCUCAGUGUUAUGCUUGGUUCCACUCGGCGUGAUAAGUUAUCUAUCGCUGAGGACACUGUAAAAGGUGGCCAAGGUAAAUGCAGAUGAACCGCUUCUAAUAGUCCAUUGACUUGGACAAUACUUUUAUGAUCUGAUCUCAAAUCAGGUAGGACUACCCGCUGAACUUAAGC
rnacentral:misc_RNA from 1 species